rnacentral:rRNA from 1 species
UACAGAGGGGGCAAGCGUUAUUCGGAAUUAUUGGGCGUAAAGGGCGCGUAGGCGGCCUUGCAAGUGACGGGUGAAAUCCCUCGGCUUAACCGAGGAACUGCCUGUCAAACUGCGUGGCUUGAGACCAGGAGAGGUGAGUGGAAUUCCCAGUGUAGCGGUGAAAUGCGUAGAUAUUGGGAGGAACACCAGUGGCGAAGGCGGCUCACUGGACUGGUUCUGACACUGAGGCACGAAAGCGUGGGGAGCGAACGGGG